GUCAAAGUCCGCUUUUUUUUUUCCGAUUUUUUUCGCAGUUUAUGGAUCGGAUAUUCCUGUUUUACCUGAAUUCCUGAUCUGCGGAUUGGUCUAGGCGACGAUCCAUCACCUUCCAAGGAUGCAACAAAAGCUGAUGCCCAUUCUAAUUCUAGUAGCACAACAGGACUUGAGAUACUAUAUAUAUGUCUUGGAGUUGCCGGUUUUGGGAUAUUGUCUAUUUUCCUUUUCAAGCAUUGGCAGAAAAAGAAGAGGGAGGAGCGACAUGCACGCCUCUUAAGGCUGUUUGAAGAGGAUGAUGAGCUUGAGCUUGAACUUGGUCUUCAGAAUUGAGAACUUGAUCAUCAAUUGAUGGUAAUGCUAUGGGUUUCGGUCUCCAUUCAUUAAAUGUUCUCCAUUGUUAGUGAAUAGUGAUUGUUAGAAUUUUGUUGUAUCCGAAAGUUUUAAGCUACCUGCAGAUGAGAUCAGAUGUAUUUCAUUUUUCUGUAUCUAAUAUAAUGAUGUGAUUGAUUAGGAAUUCUUCCAGUAAAUGGGGAUUCCCAUUCUAUUUUCAUUCUGCAAAUUGAUCUGAAUUUGUACAAAUGCACGAGUAAUUCUCACACUGCAGGGUCCAGGUACUACAUUUUGAUGUAUAUGCAUGUUUUGUAUAGAUGAGUUUGUUUCCAUUUAUUCAUGAUGUGAGGACAAGCUUGAAUGAUUAAGCCAGUUGUGUUUCUCUGAGUUUA